rnacentral:tRNA from 1 species
GGGGCCAUAGCUCAGUUGGGAGAGCGCUACAAUGGCAUUGUAGAGGUCGGCGGUUCGAUCCCGCCUGGCUCCACCA